GCCAGAAAUGGAGUUAACCAUUUAUUUCUCUGUGACAGUACAGAUUACAAAGAAACAGUGUGGUAGAUCUUCAACCUGGUCGGAGAUGCAUGGGGCUGAUUCCUGGUCUCAUGACUACCCUGGAAGGAGCAAGAUGAAGAAAACAAAACAAAAAGAAACUGUGCAGAACAAUAUAAGAAUUGCAUCAGCGUGAAGAUCAAACACCCAAAGAGAACACACAACACUUCAGUGUCGUGAAUCACUGCAAAAAAUCCAAACCCUCCUGACCCAGUUUUCUACAAGGAAAGAUAAUGUGUCCUUUUAUAAGCUCUUUCUAUCUAGCUAUGGAGUCUUUGCUUGCUGAGAAUUGAACGCUUGUGAAGCUUCCUCAUGGGGGGAGGGUAUUUAUUUUUGGAGCAGCCAGUCAUAAAUAAUAAAGGUGAAUAAUUAUUU